ACAUGUGGACAGUAUGGGAGUGAGAAUGUUGGCAUGAGUAGCGAGAUGUGGGUGAGAAUCCCACAGGCCGUAAACCCAAGGUUUCCAGGGGAAGGUUCGUCCGCCCUGGGUUAGUCGGGACCUAAGCUGAGGCCGAAAGGCGUAGGUGAUGGACAACAGGUUGAUAUUCCUGUACUACCGAUAACCGUUUGAGAGAAGGGAUGACACAGUAGGAUAAGCUAAGCACACUGUUGGUUAUGUGUGCCCAAGCAUUGAGGCAGUCAAAGUAGGCAAAUCCGCUUUGAUAAUGCUGGGAUGUGAUGGGGAGCGAAAUUUAGUAGCGAAGUAGCUGAUUUCACACUGUCAAGAAAAGUCUCUAUCGAGGUUAAAGGUACCCGUACCGCAAACCGACACAGGUGGGUGAGGAGAGUAUCCUAAGGCCAGCGAGAGAACUGUUGUUAAGGAACUCGGCAAAAUGACCCCGUAACUUAGGGAUAAGGGGUGCCACCAUCAGGUGGCCGCAGAGAAUAGGCCCAAGCGACUGUUUACCAAAAACAUAGGUUUCUGCUAAGUCGCAAGACGAUGUAUAGGAGCUGACGCCUGCCCGGUGCUGGAAGGUUAAGGGGAUCUGUUAGAGUAAUCGAAGCAGUGAACUUAAGCCCCAGUAAACGGCGGCCGUAACUAUAACGGUCCUAAGGUAGCGAAAUUCCUUGUCGGGUAAGUUCCGACCCGCACGAAAGGCGUAACGAUUUGGGCACUGUCUCAACAACAGACUCGGUGAAAUUGUAAUUCCGGUGAAGAUGCCGGAUACCUGCGACAGGACGGAAAGACCCCAUGGAGCUUUACUGUAGCUUGACAUUGGGUCUUGGUACUACAUGUACAGGAUAGGUGGGAGGCUUUGAAACCAGGACGCCAGUUUUGGCGGAGCCAUCCUUGGGAUACCACCCUUGUAGUACUGGGACUCUAACCAUAGGCCAUGAAUCUGGUCUUGGGACACUGUCAGGUGGGCAGUUUGACUGGGGCGGUCGCCUCCCAAAAGGUAACGGAGGCGCUCAAAGGUUCUCUCAGUACGGUCGGAAAUCGUACGUAGAGUGUAAAGGCAAAAGAGAGCUUGAUUGCAAGACAUACAGGUCGAGCAAGGAUGAAAAUCGGACUUAGUGAUCCGGUGGUUCUGCGUGGAAGGGCCAUCGCUCAACGGAUAAAAGCUACCCUGGGGAUAACAGGCUUAUCUCCCCCAAGAGUCCACAUCGACGGGGAGGUUUGGCACCUCGAUGUCGGCUCAUCACAUCCUGGGGCUGUAGUAGGUCCCAAGGGUUGGGCUGUUCGCCCAUUAAAGUGGUACGCGAGCUGGGUUCAGAACGUCGUGAGACAGUUCGGUCCCUAUCCGUCGCAGGCGUAGGAAAUUUGAGAAGACCUGUCCUUAGUACGAGAGGACCGGGAUGGACG
rnacentral:rRNA from 1 species